AAACGGAAAGACUGUUGACUUCCAGAGAGACCAUACACAUUAUAAUCCUCAACCAUAUUAGUAGUCAAUUCAAUGUAUUGGUCCUCAAAAAUCAAAGGGUUUCCACGAGUAUCGAACAAGACUUGAUCGUCCGCAAUCCUUGUAAUCCAAAAUUCAAAGGGGUCUGUGUUGAAUGAAAAAUUGUAUUGCAGAUUUCCAGAAAAAUUGGAACUACGAUAGAAUAAGGGAGCAUCCCAAACAUCCCG